rnacentral:tRNA from 2 species
GCCCAGGUGCUGAAAUUGGUAGACAGGCGCGGUUGAGGGCCGCGUGUACUACGUACGUGCGGGUUCGAGUCCCGCCCUGGGCA